AACAGGAUUAGAUACCCUGGUAGUCCACGCCGCAAACGAUGUCGACUUGGAGGUUGUGCCCUUGAGGCGUGGCUUCCGGAGCUAACGCGUUAAGUCGACCGCCUGGGGAGUACGGCCGCAAGGUUAAAACUCAAAUGAAUUGACGGGGGCCCGCACAAGCGGUGGAGCAUGUGGUUUAAUUCGAUGCAACGCGAAGAACCUUACCUGGCCUUGACAUCCACGGAAGUUUUCAGAGAUGAGAAUGUGCCUUCGGGAACCGUGAGACAGGUGCUGCAUGGCUGUCGUCAGCUCGUGUUGUGAAAUGUUGGGUUAAGUCCCGCAACGAGCGCAACCCUUAUCCUUUGUUGCCAGCGGUCCGGCCGGGAACUCAAAGGAGACUGCCAGUGAUAAACUGGAGGAAGGUGGGGAUGACGUCAAGUCAUCAUGGCCCUUACGACCAGGGCUACACACGUGCUACAAUGGCGCAUACAAAGAGAAGCGACCUCGCGAGAGCAAGCGGACCUCAUAAAGUGCGUCGUGGUCCGGAUUGGAGUCUGCAACUCGACUCCAUGAAGUCGGAAUCGCUAGUAAUCGUGGAUCAGAAUGCCACGGUGAAUACGUUCCCGGGCCUUGUACACACCGCCCGUCACACCAUGGGAGUGGGUUGCAAAAGAAGUAGGUAGCUUAACCUUCGGGAGGGCGCUUACCACUUUGUGAUUCAUGACUGGGGUGAAGUCGUAACAAGGUAACC
rnacentral:rRNA from 1 species